rnacentral:rRNA from 1 species
GAUGAACGCUGGCGGCGUGCCUAAUACAUGCAAGUCGAGCGAACAGACGAGGAGCUUGCUCCUCUGACGUUAGCGGCGGACGGGUGAGUAACACGUGGAUAACCUACCUAUAAGACUGGGAUAACUUCGGGAAACCGGAGCUAAUACCGGAUAAUAUAUUGAACCGCAUGGUUCAAUAGUGAAAGACGGUUUUGCUGUCACUUAUAGAUGGAUCCGCGCCGCAUUAGCUAGUUGGUAAGGUAACGGCUUACCAAGGCAACGAUGCGUAGCCGACCUGAGAGAGUGAUCGGCCACACUAGAACUGAGACACGGUCCAGACUCCUACGGGAGGAAGCAGUAGGGAAUCGUCCGCAAUGGGCGAAAGCCUGACGGAGCAACACCGCGUGAGUGAUGAAGGUCUUCGGAUCGUAAAACUCUGUUAUUAGGGAAGAACAAAUGUGUAAGUAACUAUGCACGUAUUGACGGUACCUAAUCAGAAAGCCACGGCUAACUACGUG